rnacentral:rRNA from 1 species
UACGUAGGGGGCAAGCGUUGCUCGGAAUCACUGGGCGUAAAGCGCACGUAGGCGGAUUGCUAAGUCAGGGGUGAAAUCCUGGAGCUCAACUCCAGAACUGCCUUUGAUACUGGCGACCUUGAGUCCGGGAGAGGUGAGUGGAACUGCGAGUGUAGAGGUGAAAUUCGUAGAUAUUCGGAAGAACACCAGUGGCGAAGGCGGCUCACUGGACCGGUAUUGACGCUGAGGUGCGAAAGCGUGGGGAGCAAACAGG